rnacentral:snoRNA from 1 species
AUGCCAAGAUUGGGGCAUACAUUGAUGUACUCUUUGAGGCGUUCCCCUGCCUCCGAUAUGGACAAAUCAUUUAGCUACUGGAAGCUUGAAAUCUUGUUCCUAAGGGC